UACGUAGGGCGCAAGCGUGUCCGGAAUUAUUGGGCGUAAAGAGCUCGUAGGCGGCUUGUCACGUCGGAUGUGAAAGCCCGAGGCUUAACCUCGGGUCUGCAUUCGAUACGGGCUAGCUAGAGUGUGGUAGGGGAGAUCGAAUUCCUGGUGUAGCGGUGAAAUGCGCAGAUAUCAGGAGGAACACCGGUGGCGAAGGCGGAUCUCUGGGCCAAUUACUGACGCUGAGGUGCGAAAGCGUGGGGAGCAAACAGG
rnacentral:rRNA from 1 species